UACAUGUAUGCAUAAUUGUAGAAAAUAUGAUACCGGUUUAUGUUAACAAAGCAAUAUUGGUAUGAUGUAUUUCAGAAAAGAAGACAUACUUAAAGAAAAGAAGCCUGCAUUUCAAACGCAACGAACGAAUUUGACACAAAAGGCUACGAAUCCUGAGUAUAGGUAUAUCGAAC